rnacentral:rRNA from 1 species
AGUGAACGCUGGCGGUAGGCCUAACACAUGCAAGUCGAACGGCAGCACAGUAAGAGCUUGCUCUUACGGGUGGCGAGUGGCGGACGGGUGAGGAAUACAUCGGAAUCUACUUUUUCGUGGGGGAUAACGUAGGGAAACUUACGCUAAUACCGCAUACGACCUACGGGUGAAAGCAGGGGAUCUUCGGACCUUGCGCGAUUGAAUGAGCCGAUGUCGGAUUAGCUAGUUGGCGGGGUAAAGGCCCACCAAGGCGACGAUCCGUAGCUGGUCUGAGAGGCUGAUCGGCCACACUGGAACUUAGACACGGUCCGGACUCCUACAGGAGGCAGCAGUGGAGAAGAUUGGACACUGGGCGCAAGCCUGAUCCAGCCAUACCGCGUGGGUGAAGAAGGCCUUCGGGUUGUAAAGCCCUUUUGUUGGGAAAGAAAAGCAGCAGGUUAAUACCCCGCUGUUCUGACGGUACCCAAAGAAUAAGCACCGGCUAACUUCGUG